CAUUAUAAAUAGGGGGUGAAGUGACUCUAUUUGGGGUUUAUCUUUUUCUGUAAACACUCUCCUCCUGAAAGUCUAGGCUUUUGUUUCUUCAUAUUUUCUUUCAAUAAAAUUCCCUUUUCCCUUUUUAUAUUUAUUUUCUUUUCCACAAUUAUCAUGAGCCACUAAAACCUAUCUAGCCGAAAGUUGUCAAUAUUCCCCAAAAAGGGUUCUUGAGGCCUAGAAUCUGUACUUAGC
rnacentral:lncRNA from 1 species